rnacentral:rRNA from 1 species
AUUGAACGCUGGCGGCAUGCCUUACACAUGCAAGUCGAACGGUAACGGGCCUUCGGGUGCCGACGAGUGGCGAACGGGUGAGUAAUACAUCGGAACGUGCCCGAUCGUGGGGGAUAACGAGGCGAAAGCUUUGCUAAUACCGCAUACGAUCUACGGAUGAAAGCAGGGGACCGCAAGGCCUUGCGGGGACGGAGCGGCCGAUGGCAGAUUAGGUAGUUGGUGGGGUAAAGGCUUACCAAGCCGACGAUCUGUAGCUGGUCUGAGAGGAUGAUCAGCCACACUGGGACUGAGACACGGCCCAGACUCCUACGGGAGGCAGCAGUGGGGAAUUUUGGACAAUGGGCGCAAGCCUGAUCCAGCCAUGCCGCGUGCAGGAUGAAGGCCUUCGGGUUGUAAACUGCUUUUGUACGGAACGAAAAGCCUUCUUUUAAUACAGGAGGGUCAUGACGGUACCGGAAGAAUAAGCACCGGCUAACUACGUG